rnacentral:rRNA from 1 species
AUGAACGCUGGCUACAGGCUUCACACAUGCAAGUCGAGGGGAAACGACGGGGAAGCUUGCUUCCCCGGGCGUCGACCGGCGCACGGGUGAGUAACGCGUAUCCAACCUGCCUCUGACUGAGGGAUAACCCGUCGAAAGUCGGCCUAAUACCUCAUGGUAUCGUCUGCGGGCAUCCAACGACGAUUAAAGAUUUCAUCGGUCAGGGAUGGGGAUGCGUCUGAUUAGCUUGUUGGCGGGGUAACGGCCCACCAAGGCUACGAUCAGUAGGGGUUCUGAGAGGAAGGUCCCCCACAUUGGAACUGAGACACGGUCCAAACUCCUACGGGAGGCAGCAGUGAGGAAUAUUGGUCAAUGGGCGAGAGCCUGAACCAGCCAAGUAGCGUGCAGGAAGACGGCCCUAUGGGUUGUAAACUGCUUUUAUGCGGGGAUAAAGUGAGGGACGUGUCCCUCAUUGCAGGUACCGCAUGAAUAAGGACCGGCUAAUUCCGUG